UCUGAUGAAUGAGCAAUAAAAAUGGUUUCUUGUGAUGGAAUCUACUCCUGGUGAAAAUGCUGUGAA
rnacentral:pre_miRNA from 1 species